rnacentral:rRNA from 1 species
AGCAGCCGCGGUAAUUCCAGCUCCAAUAGCGUAUAUUAAAGUUGCUGCAGUUAAAAAGCUCGUAGUUGAAUUUCGAGACCGGUUUACUGGUCGUGCUUUUGUACGUACUGGUAUUAUUGGUUUCUCCUUUCUGACGAAUCUUAAUGCCAUUAAUUUGGUGUUUUGGGGAAUCAGGACUGUUACUUUGAAAAAAUUAGAGUGUUUAAAGCAGGCUCACGCUUGAAUACAUUAGCAUGGAAUAACGGAAUAGGACGUUUGAUUCUAUUUUGUUGGUUUCUAGGAUCGACGUAAUGAUUAAUAGGGAUAGUUGGGGGCAUUAGUAUUCAAUUGUCAGAGGUGAAAUUCUUGGAUUUAUUGAAGACUAACUACUGCGAAAGCAUUUGCCAAGGAUGUUUUCAUUAAUCAAGAACGAAAGUUAGGGGAUCGAAGACGAUCAGAUACCGUCGUAGUCUUAACCAUAAACUAUGCCGACUAGGGAUCGGAUGAUGUUAAUUUUUUAAUGUACUCAUUCGGCGCCUUA